GCAGUCGUACGAGAGUUUUUAACUCAAGUGGCGGACGGGUGAGUAACACGUAAGAAUUUGCCUUUAGGAGGGGGACAACAACUGGAAACGGUUGCUAAUACCCCAUAUGCUUUCGAGUGAAAUGGAUUUUUCCGCCUAAAGAGAAGCUUGCGGCUGAUUAGCUUGUUGGUAAGGUAAUGGCUUACCAAGGCGACGAUCAGUAUCUGGUUUGAGAGGAUGAUCCGCCACACUGGAACUGAAACACGGACCAGACUCCUACGGGAGGCAGCAGUGAGGAAUAUUGCGCAAUGGGGGCAACCCUGACGCAGCGACGCCGCGUGGAUGAUGAAGGCCUUCGGGUUGUAAAAUCCUGUCAGAUGGGAAGAAGUGUACGAUGGUUAAGAGCUGUCGUAUUUGACGGUACCAUCAAAGGAAGCACCGGCUAACUCCGUGCCAGCAGCCGCGGUAAUACGGAGGGUGCGAGCGUUGUUCGGAUUUACUGGGCGUAAAGCGCGCGUAGGCGGUGUGAUCAGUCAGCUGUGAAAGCCCAUGGCUCAACCAUGGACGUGCAGUUGAAACUGUCAGACUUGAGUACUGGAGGGGGUGGUGGAAUUCCCGGUGUAGAGGUGAAAUUCGUAGAUAUCGGGAGGAAUACCGGUGGCGAAGGCGACCACCUGGCCAGAUACUGACGCUGAGGUGCGAAAGCGUGGGGAGCAAACAGGAUUAGAUACCCUGGUAGUCCACGCCGUAAACGAUGAGAACUAGGUGUUGGGAUGGAUCCCAUUUCAUUGCCGGAGCUAACGCAUUAAGUUCUCCGCCUGGGGAGUACGGUCGCAAGAUUAAAACUCAAAGGAAUUGAC
rnacentral:rRNA from 1 species